ACAGUGCCAAAGAUGCGGCAACUGGAGG
rnacentral:piRNA from 1 species